ensembl:snRNA U6 U6 spliceosomal RNA
UUGCCUGGUUUGGCAGCACAUGUACUAAAAUUGGAACAAUAUAGAGACUAUUAGCAUGGCCUCUGCACAAGGAUGACAUGCAAAUUCGUGAAGCAUUCCAUAUAUUU